UGAGUGGGCAAGACGAUCGCUGGCGGCGUUCCUUUCCAAGGGGCGACCGCUGGAGGAAAGUCCGGGCUCCGCAGGAUAGGAUGGUCGAUAACGUCGACCGGCCGCGAGGCUAGGGAAAGUGCAACAGAAAGCAGACCGCCGAACGGUUCGACCGCGAUCGGUCUUUUCGAUCGAUCGCAGCGAAUGCGUGGUAAGGGUGAAACGGUGCGGUAAGAGCGCACCAGCGGUCGAGGUGACUCGAUCGGCUCGGUAAACCCCAUCCGGAGCUAGACCAAACAGAGUGCAGCGGAGGACGGGGCCUUUGGCCGCGAACCUCCGCGCCGUGCGAUCCGUACGGCCAUCGACAUUCGGGUAGGUCGCGAUGGAGGCGGCGAGCAAUCGCCGUGCACAGACAAAUGGUCGUCGGCCGGAGCGUCACGUUCCGGUUACAGAACCCGGCUUACUACCCCACUCACGGC
rnacentral:RNase_P_RNA from 1 species